rnacentral:rRNA from 1 species
ACUCCUACGGGAGGCAGCAGUGGGGAAUAUUGCACAAUGGGCGCAAGCCUGAUGCAGCAACGCCGCGUGCGGGAUGACGGCCUUCGGGUUGUAAACCGCUUUCAGUAGGGACGAAGCGUGAGUGACGGUACCUACAGAAGAAGGACCGGCUAACUACGUGCCAGCAGCCGCGGUGAUACGUAGGGUCCGAGCGUUGUCCGGAAUUAUUGGGCGUAAAGGGCUUGUAGGCGGUCCGUCGCGUCAGGAGUGAAAACUCGGGGCUUAACCCCGAGCCUGCUUUUGAUACGGGCGGACUAGAGGGAUGCAGGGGAGAACGGAAUUCCUGGUGGAGCGGUGGAAUGCGCAGAUAUCAGGAGGAACACCGGUGGCGAAGGCGGUUCUCUGGGCAUCACCUGACGCUGAGAAGCGAAAGCGUGGGGAGCAAACAGGCUUAGAUACCCUGGUAGUCCACGCCGUAAACGGUGGGCACUAGGUGUGGGGGACAUUCCACGUUCUCCGUGCCGAAGCUAACGCAUUAAGUGCCCCGCCUGGGGAGUACGGCCGCAAGGCUAAAACUCAAAGGAAUUGACGGGGGCCCGCACAAGCGGCGGAGCAUGCGGAUUAAUUCGAUGCAACGCGAAGAACCUUACCUGGGUUUGACAUACACCGGAAAGCUGCAGAGAUGUAGCCCCCGCAAGGUCGGUGUACAGGUGGUGCAUGGCUGUCGUCAGCUCGUGUCGUGAGAUGUUGGGUUAAGUCCCGCAACGAGCGCAACCCUCGUUCUAUGUUGCCAGCACGUACUGGUGGGGACUCAUAGGAGACUGCCGGGGUCAACUCGGA